UCCCUGCCCCCGCCCUGCCCCGGGCGCACGGGCUGCGGGGGUGGGGACUCUCCCUGAGGUCACCAGGGGCUCCGCCUUGAGGUCACAGCCGCGGGAGGCCGUGCUCGUGCUUUGGAGCUCCACGUGAUGUGGUCGGUGGAAGACGUCUCCUUUGUCAGAAUCUGCGCUCAGAUUCCCGGAAUAGCUGCCAGACCGACCCCAGCGUUGAGCCCGGGAAGGGAAGAGUUUUCGCUGUUGUUGACCAGGCUGGAGUGCAAUGGUGCAAUCUCGGCUCACCACAACCUCUGCCUCCCGGGUUCAAGUGAUUCUCCUGCCUCAGCCUACGGAGUAGCUGGGAUUACAGGUUGGAGUGCAAUGGCGUGAUCUCAGCUCACCGCAACCUCUGCCUCCUGGGUUGAAGCGAUUCUCCUGCCUCAGCCUUCCGAGUAGCUGGGAUUACAGGCGUGAGCCACUACGCCUGGCUAAUUUCAACCAUUUGAUGAGCCAGCUACUUCUUUUGUGGUUCCCUGUGCAUAUGAAUAAACCCUUUUCUCCUGUUAA